AAAAGGACCUUUAAGAGCUGCUGACAGUCGUCCCAGGUGGGCUGGUGGGUGAACAUGACACUGUCUAGAAGAGCUAUUAGAUCUUUAGGGUUAUCAGAGAAUCGAGCGUUCUGCGUUUUCCAGUUGUAAAGGUCACUGGUGGAAAAGGGCCAAUACUGGAGUCGGGGGUUGCCUGUUUCAUCGGGGGGUCCUAUUUCCCGCAGGGGUAGGGCCACAGUGGAGUCGGGGAGGCGGGGGUUUGGCUCACGCUGGGUGCGCCCGCGGGUUCCGCCGG